rnacentral:rRNA from 1 species
AUUGAACGCUGGCGGCAGGCCUAACACAUGCAAGUCGAGCGGAUGAAGGGAGCUUGCUCCUGGAUUCAGCGGCGGACGGGUGAGUAAUGCCUAGGAAUCUGCCUGGUAGUGGGGGAUAACGUCCGGAAACGGGCGCUAAUACCGCAUACGUCCUGAGGGAGAAAGUGGGGGAUCUUCGGACCUCACGCUAUCAGAUGAGCCUAGGUCGGAUUAGCUAGUUGGUGGGGUAAAGGCCUACCAAGGCGUCGAUCCGUAACUGGUCUGAGAGGAUGAUCAGUCACACUGGAACUGAGACACGGUCCAGACUCCUACGGGAGGCAGCAGUGGGGAAUAUUGGACAAUGGGCGAAAGCCUGAUCCAGCCAUGCCGCGUGUGUGAAGAAGGUCUUCGGAUUGUAAAGCACUUUAAGUUGGGAGGAAGGGCAGUAAGUUAAUACCUUGCUGUUUUGACGUUACCAACAGAAUAAGCACCGGCUAACUUCGU